AGCACAGAAAGCCCAAAGGUUCCCGGAAGUAUAAACUGAGGAAAGGUGAACAGGAGAUAGGGCCAUAGUGAGCCAGGCUUUGUUCUCGAGCAAGGGCGGACCCUCCCCCCAACGACAUCAGCAGGGGAGGCAGAGUGGUACCGUGCCAGGAACAUAGCUCUCGAAGAACAUGGAGAAAAUGGGGUGGUAGGAGGAGCCUGUGGCCUAGCCUAGCGGCAGUGUGCACCCGGACUGGGAAGAUGCCCUCUGGAGACAGAAGCAGAGGAGCAAAAAGCUGGCAUGGAGGGCAGAAUCCACAGAAAUAAGACAGAGGGCCCCAAACCCACCAUUUAACCAGCGGGAAAUCCAGCAGGCAGGAAGAUGCUGCUGCCUGUUCUAUUUGGCUGUGCUGAGUCUGAGGUGUUCAGACACCUUUCAAAUAGUUGAAGAAGUUUAGGGAUCUCGAGAGAAAGGCUGGAUGCUGGCUUCAUUUGCCACUGAGGUAACAGGUGAGAAGAUGUGCACGAGAGCCAAGGCCCAACACGCAGAGAGGAGACACUCCGAAGGCAGCGUUCCUUCGUGUGGGACGACACACAUGUGUGCACGGAGCAGCUUGGAAAGCUGCUACUUCUGAACUCUUACAAACAUCACCAGCACAAAAGUGAGUGUGCACCAGGGAAAUGCACGUAAGUCAAAACCAUGAUGAGACGCUACGUCGCUCCCGUUAGGAUGGCUAUUAUCACCUCCUCGCCUCCAAGGAGCCACUGAGAAAAUAACAAGUGUGGGUGUGGGUGCAGGGAAACUGGAACCCUGGGCGCUGCUGGUGGGAAUGUCAAACGCAGCAGUCACUGUGCAACAGUGUGGUGGUUCUUCCCAAAAUUCAACAGAGAAUUGCUAUACAAUCCAGCAAUUCCACCUCUGGGUAUAUGCUGAAAGGAAUCGAAAGCAGGGACGCAGACAGAUAUUUGUACGCCUGUGUCCGCAGCAGCAUUACUCACGACAGACAAAAGGUGGAAACAAUGAAUGUCCAUCCGCAGAUGAAUGCAUACAUGUGACCUACACACGUCAUAGAACACCACCACCCAGCCUUCAAAAGCAAGGGAACCCCAACACGCUACAGCAUGGAUGAACCCUGAAGACAGUACGCUCAGUGAGAUAAACCAGUCAGAAAAGGACAAACACUGUGAUUCCAUGUCUAUGAGGUAACCAGGGUCGUUGAACUCACAGACAAAAAAAUAGAAUGGUGGUUUCCAGGGGCUGGCAGGGAGGGACAAACAUGGAAUUAUUGGUGAAUGGGUAGAGAGUUUGUUUGCAAAGACGAGAAAGUUCUGGAGAUGGCUGGCGGGAACGGGUGCACAACAACGUGACAGGCCACCAAACUAACUGCGCACCUAAACGUGGCAGAUUUUAUGUUACGUGUAGCCUCCCAACGAUAAAACAAGAUGACUGUGCAGCCAGCAACAGAGAAAAGUGGCCAAAGGGGCCCACAUAGUGAGGGGCAGAGCUGGAACUCUGGGCCAGAUACUACCAAUCAUGGUCAAUGCCACUAACCAGAGGGCAAACUCCAUGCGCACCGAGUAUGGAAAGAAUGCCAAAACAUGUCUCAGCGUUUUCCACCACAUCGUAUUCAGUGACAGCAGCACCCAGCAUACCGUCUUCUUGUGUGAAACACAUGGCGUUUACUACAGAGAUCAACCACUUAGGAGAUAUAAACCAGAUUACAAAACAUCUCCUCCUCCUUCUGCUAGGUUUCAGAAUCUGAUGUCACAGAUGAAUCUGCCCUAGUCUCGGUUCUGUUCUUCAACAACUCUGUCUCUUUCUCACUUACACCAACCGCCAACUUAAAGGCCACACCACAUGGCUACAUGAAACAUUUUCAGAGUGCUUCCUACAGGCCUUCAGAUGGACCUUCAGAUACAUCACCAAGCCCUGACUACAAACACGGUAACACACCUGUUCUCCUGUUAGUCUCUUUUCCAAGAGGUGACCUCUAAGAUGGAGAUUUUCACAUAAACAGAUAUGUUGGUUCUCUGUACUAUUAACACUCUUCUUAGCCAGCUUGGAGACUAGGCUUGGCGAGAUUCAGAUUGUUAGAAGAAUUAGGAGACAGAAAAGGAAGAAACAACAGUGUUGAGACUACUAAUAAUUUGAGUUUUAAGAGAAAAACAAAGAUGAUUAUGAGUCCCUCUCUCCAGAUUUUGCCCUAUGGCAUCUUUGAGCUCGUAUGAGCAAAAUAUAGGAUUGGCAACUGCCCGAAUGGGUAGGAGAGGGGAGUUCAAGAUCAUUCAGAAAUUGUGUUUGGCUGGAAAUAAGGGAAACAGAAACUCUACCAUUAAAUGUUCAUGUUUUUGGAGGAAUUAGUUACCAAAAAGCCACUUUCUGGCUCUGACUCCAUUUAUGAUUCUUUAGCUAAAGAACAAACUUAGGCCUUCGUCCAUAGCACCUCCAUAAUACGUAGGAUCAUGGACGCUAUGGGUGUUCAACAUCCAAAGUUCUGGUGAGCUACUGUGCAUAUGGAGCACGGGAAAAUGAAGUUCAGAAGGAAUGUCAGACCCAUCUGGGUAAGUUUUUGUUCCUGCCACGAAGCCUGGGACUCCUUGUGAUUAUCUAAACUGCACCCACGUUGUGUUCCCAUCAGUCUGAAAAUAGAGCUGUACAUAUUUCCAGCAGACAGGGAACUGCCUUUUGUUUCUGGCAGUGUUUCUCCUACUGUUUAUAUCUGAACAUCCUAAUAACGCGGCUUAUGGUUACACCCAGCCUUCCCAGCCACUGCUCCUAUUGACUUCCUUUUCAACUGUCUCAGGAGACCCAGCCAGAGAGACGAGGCUGAACAAAAGGAAGCAAAAACCCACCAUCCGGACAUGGAAGCCAACGCUUGAGUCAAAAUCUUUCCAGGAAUUAGACUGCAACGGAGCAGAUAGACGUAGUUGUCCUCAGUCCUCAGCCUCCCCACAUCUUCGUUGAGGCGGCCGUGGAAGUGUCUUAGAGAAAACAAACUUCCAAAGGAUGUGUAUUUCUCUGGAAAAUGGCACUAGAGUUAAAGUCCAAGUACUCCUUCUGAGCUUUACCUAACGAGCUCAUGUGGCCUGCCCAAACAUCACAGGGACGGGGGGGUGUCCUCCUCCACAAAUAUUUUCACUCAGUGCACACAAACCACGGUUGCAAAUCUUUUAAGCGUUCACCUGACACUCUUAAUUACUAGCUACAAAGUCUGCUCUCAAAAAAGCAUCAAUAACAUGAAGAGUCCUGUUAUUAUUAAGUAGACAAUAUCUUCCCAGGUACCCAAAGUUAUAAAAAUUGGUAAAACAGAAACAGCUCUUAGACUAAAAUCAGUUCUUAUUAGCAGUCAUUCCAGGAGUCUGACGCUCUUCUCUUUGGUAUGAUAGUUUUGCGUAAGUUUCAGAUAUGUAGUGUCCUCUUGUGUUAACACUGGUCUUAGGAAUGCCCACCAUGAAUUAGCUACAGAACUACGUUAGGUGAAAAUUUCUAUCUUUCACCAACUUGUGAGUUCCAUAUGAGCUUUCUGAAGGAUGCUGACAAAAAUGGGCACGUUGCUACCAGAGGGUUUCUGCCAACAAUAAAAUUCUCCCAUAUCCCAUUCUGAGCAUGUGAUUCAUGGUUACCAACCACUUAUCAUAAGAGCCAGAAGAUACACACAUCGAGAGGAAGUAGUCAAGGGAAUAUCAAAUGGCGAGGAAGAGCAAUGUGUAUGUGUGUACUGGGCUGGGGGGCGGAGGUGAAAGUGACUGAGGAACACUAUUAACUUACGCACCUUACUAUUUAGCAGAGAAUUCAGAAAGGAGGUAAGAUUCCAGGGAUGUUGGAGGCUGAUGGCAGGAAGCAAGAGCUGACCUGAGGACAAAGACCAAUGUAUGCAGCUUUAGGGAAAUCUUAAGGGAAGGCCUUGAUACAGAAGAGCUACGAUGAAACCAACUAUAUAAAACUGAAGAAGCCAACAGACAGAGUGCAGGGUAAGACAAAGCAUGGGGACCUCACCCAGGAUGAGAAUUUGGAAGCUAACCUAGCGACUUACUACGAUGCCAGCAGGAGGGGCUGGAGUUGUAACUGUGCAAUUUCACAGCAGCAGGCUCACAAGCUACGUUUUGUAUUUACGGUCAUACCUCCAUGUUCUUAUGUCAACCUUUCAGUACAUUAACUAAAGCUUACGUUGUGGGAUGCGUAGGAAUCCUUACUUACAAAUCUUAGAAGAUGGAUUCAUUCAAUGAACAAACUUAUUGAGCAACUAAAAAAAUUUUUUUUAAUGUUUAUUUAUUUUUGAAGGAGAGAGAGACCAAGUGUGAGUGGGGGAGGGGCUGAGAGAGAGGGAGACACAGAAUCCAAAGCAGGUUCCAGGCUCUGAGCUGUCAGCACAGAGCCUGACACGGGGCUCAAAUCCACGAACCGUGAGAUCAUGACCUGGGCUGAAGUUGGACUUAUUGAGCAUUUAAUACGAAUUAGCAACACUGUUCUGAGCGCUUAGAUAUAGUGAGCAGAUGAAAAAACUGCAAACGCAUUUGUAUAAAAGAGCAAAUUUCUAUAGAUAAAAGUGGAGUGAGAACAUAUGCAUGAUCACUUGAGAACUGAAGUGGCAUAUACACCCAAAUAUAAUAAUUUUUUUAAAAACACCGAUUAAAAAUACUGAAGCUCAGGGAGCCUGGGUGGCUCAGUCGGUUGAGCAUCCGACUUCAGCUCAGGUCAUGAUCUCAGGGUUCGUGGGUUCGAGCCCUGCAUCUGGCUUAUGCUGACAGCUCAGAGCCUGGAGUCUGCUUUGGAUUGAUUCUGUGUCUCCCUCUCUCUCUCUCUCUGUCCCUUCCUUGUUCGUGCUCUGUCUCUGUCUCUCAAAAAUGAACACUAAAAAAAAAAAAAUACUGAAGCUCAAAAUAUAAUUGGAGAAUACUUCUAAAUGACAAAAAAAAAAAAAGAAUUGUGGAAAAAAAUCUGCUACAGAUUGUGCAACAGAAUUAAUUAAUAGAGGGUCAUGACACUGCCCUCAGUGCUAGGAAGGCAUUCCUGCUCUGGGAAAGAAACAAUUGAGAUAGCUUCUAGGACAAUAUCUACGAUAGAAAAAAAUACAUCCAUAUUUAUAAAUGAAAACUGAUUCACGUAUUUGUGUAACAAAAGGAACUGGCUGACUGGAGGAGGAGGUCUCGGAUAGCAAGAAAAAGCAUCAGCCUUGACGAUCAGAUCUGGGAUUGCAUCCCAUCACCUAUCACACAUGCACUGUGAGACCUUCAGAGAACCAUGGACCAUCCCCACCUGCUUUUCCAUAUGCAAAAUCAGACAAACACUAGGAAUGUAAAAACUAAAUGCCUGGAUCUCCUCCUAUCCAUCCACCUCUUCCCAGUGCAGACCACAAAACCAAGUUACCAUGCCUGGGCUGCCAUAAUGGCAGCCUAACUUAUUCCCACACUGACAGAGGGAUCUCUUCAAAACAUAGUUUGAGAAGUGACCUAUCCAAACAAAGCCAACUCCUCCUCCUCAUGGCUGUCAAGGCCCUGCUUUCCUAAGGUCCCACUUAUGACUCUUCUGAUACCUCUCUUCUGCUUGUUCAGGGCUCCCCACGCACUGGCCCUGCCAAUUCUUUCCUGAAGGCCUCAGGGCCUUUGCAUCUACUGUUCAUUCUUUCUGGGAACACCUUCCCUUUGCAUAGCCAGUAUCUUUCUAUCCUCUGGAGAUCGGUUUUUUAAAGUCAGAAAAAAAAUUUUUAAUGUUUAUUUUUGAGAGAGCGAGAGAGCGAGAGAGCGUGAGCGGGGGGCAGGGAGAGAGGGAGACACAGAAUCCAAAGCAGGCUCCAGGCCCUGAGCUGUCAGCACAGAGUCCGAUGUGGGGCUCGAACUCACGAAUGGCGAGAUCAUGACCUGAGCCGAAGUCGGAUGCUUAACUGACUAAGGCACCGAGGCGCCCCUGGAGAUCAGUUUUUUAAAUGUCAGCACCUCAGAAACAUCUUCUAUCGAAAAUAGGCCUUCUCAUUAUUUUCUAUAUAGUCUGCUGCUUAUUCCUGUCAAAUCACUUAUAAUUUGUACUUUUUUCUCUAUGUAUCGCCUGUCUUGAAGCAAUAUGAGGAUUUUAAAGAACUGUGUGGCCCUUGGACUUAGGGCUGCUGCUGGCACUGAACAGGUCAUUAACAGCUCUCAACGAUGUCACCUUUGUCUGUUUCCAAAACAAAGAGAUUAACACACAACUUAGCCAUCUUAUUUUAAACACACUAGUUUUAGGACUCCUAGUGUUUACCUAUUUGUAAUAAAUGCCUAUUUUCUGAGAAGUGAUGUCUUCUCCACUAAAACUCUUUCAUUAUAUAGUUGGCAGCAUGGUAAGGAAAAAAAAAAAACAACGAAUGCAAACAGAUUCAUCUAAAAAAACUAAUUAUGUCCUUUAUUAUCUGUGGCCUUGUGAAAAAAAAAAAUCACAUCUUUGUCAGUCAAGUACUUCAUAUUCCUCACCGUGGCUCGAGAGAACCCUUAAGCUCUUCACCCGAAUGGUGGGGGGGUGGGGGGGGGGGGGGGGGGGGGGGGGGGGGGGAGACAGUGGCUGUCUGAGCAGUUAAGUCUCACGUGAAAUAACGUACGUGGAAAUGUUUUGUUACAGCAUCUCUGAGGCCAACAAACUUUCAUGCCCAGCCAGAGCAUACAGUACUACACAUUUUAGCCUUAUUUUAAAUGCACGAUAUUCUCUGUGGUGCCUACACUGAGAUUUUCUAGGCUCCCUCCCUCUUUCCCUACUUUCUUUUCCCCCCAGACAGGUAAAAUCAAGAGUCAAGCAUACAAAGGUCCUAAAAACUGGGCUCUCGUAAAUAUAUGAGGACAAAAAUCUUAAACCACCACGGUGCUUUCAUAGAGGUAAUCACAGUUCGGAGAAACUAAAAUUAACAGUAUCUCGGAACCAGUUCAAAACGCCAACUUACCAACAGUGCUCAGUCUAGGCCGAGCAGGUCAGACAGCUACCUGACAGCAAUUAGGAGGGACGGCGACACCACUCUAGCACAAAUCA
rnacentral:lncRNA from 1 species